CACAGUUCGCUCGCAGCUGCCGAUGCUUUAAAUACCCUGACAAAUUUAGCCGGCACAUUAUCAGUUCAGAAAAUGCUUGUCUGUGCUCACGAACGAACCAGAAAUAAUCAGAAUUAACACGUAUGUGAUUUUUUUAUGUAAUUCACAGCUCCAAAGACUCUCCCGGAGGCCGUGAAGCAGCCCGCAGCUCACAGCGUCACAGGUUUCGUCCUGCCUCUGGUCGUCUGUGUCACUGCGGUCGUGCUGUUUGCGGUUGUUUUGUUGCUCCUCUACAAACUGAAGACGAGUCUGAGCAGCAGGGAGCAGUCAGGUGACGGAAACAUCGAGUUUACAACAAAUGAGACGACGUCUCCGGUCUUCAAACGUGAAGACUCGACCUCCUCAGUUGUAUAUGAGACCAGCAACAAUCAGCACAAAACCUACUGUAACCUCUGACUUCUUAUUAAAGUUUCUAUUUUAUUCUAUUUGCGGUAUUUUUAAAAUAGCAAUGACAUCAUAGUCUCUGCUGAA